UACAGAGGUGGCAAGCGUUGUUCGGAAUUACUGGGCGUAAAGGGCGCGUAGGCGGCCUUCUAAGUCAGACGUGAAAUCCCCCGGCUUAACCUGGGAACUGCGUCUGAUACUGGGGGGCUUGAGUAUGGGAGAGGGAUGUAGAAUUCCAGGUGUAGCGGUGAAAUGCGUAGAUAUCUGGAGGAAUACCGGUGGCGAAGGCGGCUCUCUGGGACGGUACUGACGCUGAGACGCGAAAGCGUGGGGAGCGAACAGG
rnacentral:rRNA from 1 species